rnacentral:rRNA from 1 species
UCCUUAGAUGUCCUGGGCUGCACGCGCGCUACACUGAUGUGUCCAGUAAGCACCUAACCUCUUCCGAAAGGAACGGGUAACCUUUGCAAAGCACAUCGUGAUGGGGAUAGAUUAUUGCAAUUAUUAGUCUUGAACGAGGAAUUCCUAGUAAGCACAAGUCAUCAGCUUGUGUUGAUUACGUCCCUGCCCUUUGUACACACCGCCCGUCGCUCCUACCGAUUGGGUGUGCUGGUGAAAUGUUCGGAUCGGCCGUUUGUCGCGGUUUCCGCGUCAUGUGGCUGAGAAGUUCAUUAAACCCUCCCACCUAGAGGAAGGAGAAGUCGUAACA